rnacentral:rRNA from 1 species
UACGGGAGGUGCGAGCGUUGUCCGGAAUCACUGGGCGUAAAGGGCGCGUAGGUGGCCCGUUAAGUGGUUGGUGAAAUCCCGGGGCUCAACCUCCGGGGCUGCCGAUCAAGACUGGCGGGCUAGAGCACGGUAGGGGCAGAUGGAAUUCCCGGUGUAGCGGUGGAAUGCGUAGAGAGUCGGGAAGAAUACCAGUGGCGAAGGCGUUCUGCUGGGCCUGCACUGACGCUCGAUGCACG